rnacentral:rRNA from 1 species
GACGAACGCUGGCGGCGUGCCUAACACAUGCAAGUCGAGCGGAGUCGAUCGACGGAAGCCUUCGGGCGGAAGAUGGUUGACUUAGCGGCGGAUGGGUGAGUAACGCGUGGGCAACCUGCCUCGAAGACCGGGAUAACAGCCCGAAAGGGCUGCUAAUACCGGAUGUGGUCAAGGAUCCGCAUGGAUUUUUGAUUAAAGGGGAAACCCGUUUCGAGAUGGGCCCGCGUCCUAUCAGCUAGUUGGUGAGGUAAAAGCUCACCAAGGCGACGACGGGUAGCCGGCCUGAGAGGGUGACCGGCCACACUGGAACUGAGACACGGUCCAGACUCCUACGGGGGGCAGCAGUGGGGAAUCUUCCACAAUGGGCGAAAGCCUGAUCCAGCCAUGCCGCGUGCAGGAAGAAGGCCUUCGGUUGUAAACUGCUUUAGUCUAGGAAAAGGGGUAGCGAGGUUAAUACCCUCGUGCUUUGAUGGUACUGGAAGAAUAAAGCACCGGCUAACUACGUGCCAGCAGCCGCGGU